GGCGGAAUGGCCGAGUGGUCUAAGGCGUCAGACUCAAGUACAUAACUUAUGUAGGUUCUACAUCGCCACUGAGUAUUCUGAUCUCGUUAUCGAGGCGUGGGUUCAAAUCCCACUUCCGUCA
rfam:Strongyloides papillosus strain LIN genome assembly, scaffold: SPAL_contig0003117